UACGUAGGGGGCUAGCGUUGUCCGGAUUUAUUGGGCGUAAAGAGCGUGUAGGCGGCCAAGUAGGUCCGUUGUGAAACUGGAGGCUUAACCUCCAGCUGUCGAUGGAAACCAUUUGGCUAGAGUCCGGAAGAGGAGAGUGGAAUUCCGUGGUGUAGCGGUGAAAUGCGCAGAUAUCAGGAAGAACACCCGUGGCGAAGGCGGCUCUCUGGGACGGUACUGACGCUGAGACGCGGAAAGCGUGGGGAGCGAACAGG
rnacentral:rRNA from 1 species